UUUCUAUGGAGAGUUUGAUCCUGGCUCAGGACGAACGCUGGCGGCGUGCCUAAUACAUGCAAGUCGAGCGGACCGAACAGGA
rnacentral:rRNA from 1 species